GCUCUGGUGGCCUAGUGGUUAGAGCAUCCGCCUCAAAUGCGGGAGGUCGUGGGUUCAAUCCCAAGCUGAGUCA